UACGAAGGGUGCAAGCGUUAAUCGGAAUUACUGGGCGUAAAGCGUGCGCAGGCGGUUUUGUAAGUCGGAUGUGAAAUCCCCGGGCUCAACCUGGGAACUGCGUUCGAAACUGCAAGGCUAGAGUGUGUCAGAGGGGGGUAGAAUUCCACGUGUAGCAGUGAAAUGCGUAGAGAUGUGGAGGAAUACCAAUGGCGAAGGCAGCCCCCUGGGAUAACACUGACGCUCAUGCACGAAAGCGUGGGGAGCAAACAGG
rnacentral:misc_RNA from 1 species